UCAACGAAAAAUAAAUCAAAAGCCUCUUCUUUGAAUGACGACAUUAGAAAGGAAUUUGAAGAAAGAUUUCGAAAACAAGAAGAAGAGCAUCGUCAACAAGCACAACGCCUAGAAGAGCGCCUUCAGUAACAAGAUGAGCUCUUGAGAAAAUUAUUGGCCCAACAGAGCGGGUCAAGAUCUAACGUUGGAGUUCCACCAGCGCCAUCAUCAUACUAUGUGCCCGACCCACCAGUGCCACCAGCGCAGGCGUCCUACUAUACUCCAGACCCAGUAGUGCCUCAAGCAGAACACCACAUUAUUGCACUACAACCGCUUUUGCAAGAGGGCCGAGCAUGCCAAUUAGCAAUUGGUUCGGUUCCAAACAUUGUUGCAUCAGGUACACUCAUUGAAAGAGAGGCAGGCAACAACUUCCAAGUUAUGAUUACGAGUGUUCUUAAGCCAACCUGUCAUCUCCCUUUUGCAUAUCCUGAUUUGGACAUGUACAUAGUUGCUCAGGCCAUUGGGACGCCAAUAGCGUGGCCUAAGGAUUUUGUCAUUAUAUCUGAAGAUGUAACUCAUGAGACUCCCUCUACAAGUAGGACCAAAUCACAACGACCAAGAGCUCCAUUAACACAACAACCUCGAGA